rnacentral:rRNA from 1 species
GAUGAACGCUGGCGGAGUGCCUAACACAUGCAAGUCGAGCGGCAGCGCGAGUAGUUUACUACUUGGCGGCGAGCGGCGGACGGCUGAGUAACGCGUGGGAACAUGCCCCAAAGUGAGGAAUAACUGCCCGAAAGGGUAGCUAAUGCCGCAUACGAUCUUCGGAUUAAAGGAUUUAUCCGCUUUGGGAGUGGCCUGCGUACGAUUAGAUAGUUGGCGAGGUAAUGGCUCACCAAGUCUACGAUCGUUAACUGGUUUGAGAGGAUGAUCAGUCAGACUGGAACUGAGACACGGUCCAGACUCCUACGGGAGGCAGCAGUGAGGAAUCUUCCACAAUGGACGAAAGUCUGAUGGAGCAACUCCGCGUGCAGGAUGAAGGCCUUCGGGUCGUAAACUGCUUUAUGAGUGAAGAAUAUGACGGUAACUCAUGAAUAAGGGUCGGCUAACUACGUGCCAGCAGCCGCGGU